GACGAACGCUGGCGGCGUGCUUAACACAUGCAAGUCGAGCGGAAAGGCCCUUUGGGGUACUCGAGCGGCGAACGGGUGAGUAACACGUGAGUAAUCUGCCCUGCACUUUGGGAUAACUGCCGGAAACGGUGGCUAAUACCGGAUAUGACUCCUUGCCGCAUGGUGGGGGGUGGAAAGUUUUUUCGGUGCGGGAUGUGCUCGCGGCCUAUCAGCUUGAUGGUGGGGUAAUGGCCUACCAUGGCUUCGACGGGUAGCCGGCCUGAGAGGGUGACCGGGCGCACGGGGACUGAGACACGGCCCAGAAUGCUACGGGAGGCAGCAGUGGGACAUAUUGGACGAUAGGCGGAGGCCGGAUCCAGCAACGCCGCGUGAGAAAUGACGGCCUUCGGGUUGUCAUCCUCUUGCACCUGUGACGAAGUCUCUGCUUUUUGGUGGGGGUGACGGUAGCGGGAGAAGAAGCACCGGCCAACUACGUGCCAGCCGCCGCAGUAAUAC
rnacentral:rRNA from 1 species